GCUGUAGAUCAAUGGUAGAGCAUCUUCACUGCAUGCAGAAGGUCCCAGGUUCAAUUCACGGCAUGUCCA